rnacentral:tRNA from 1 species
UAGCCGCCGCCCGGUCUUGCCGGGCCGGCGCUCUUGCCGCCGGCCUUCGGUGCGGCGGCGCUGUAGCCGCCGCGCUUGCC